CAGUGAUCUGGCCCUUACGGGCAGGGUUAUAUAUGCAUGCUCGUUCAAAAGUUGUGCAUCUGUUGGUGGCUGCUAUCCUAUUUUCAGGGAGUUCCAGAAAGCUCUUUAGUUGUAUGUAUCUGAAAAAGUCAUGUGUGUUGUAUGGUGAGUGUUGUUGGGGAAGGUCUUUGUAUUGCAUUAGUUUUCCUCCCUCAAAGAAGUGGCAUAUUCUAUAAAGGUCGUUGUGUUCAUAGUGUGCAAAAUCUUUUUGGUUCAUUCCUGGGCUAAAUGCUUAAUUGCGCAGUAUGGGUGUCAGUGGUGAUGGGUUGUUGAUGAUAGGGAUUUUUUAGGUAAGCUUAUCCCAGGUGCUGAUAGAAUUAGCUAAUGUCGGGGGUAUGGGCGGUGGCAUGGGCCGGGAGUUCCGUGGGACCCAUAUGUACAAUGAGGGGAGGUCGAAGCCAAAUAUGUCGUGUUCUAAGUCCACCCAGCGCUUCGUCCCCGGUGGGGUGUGUAGAUGUUGUAUCUGUGUGGCUUGCGUCGCGUGGUAAUAGUGUUGUAAGUGGGGUAGGCCCAGGCCUCCCGUCCUGUUGGGGAUGUACAUGGUCGCCCUUUUCACUCUCGGUCGUUUAUUCGACCAGAUGAAUUUGUCGAUGUGCGACUGUAAGUAUUUGAAGUCCGAGGUGGGGAUGGGGAUGGGGAGGGUUUGAAAAAGAUAGAGCAGUCUUGGUAGAAGAUUCAUCUUUACCGAGGCUAGGCGUCCCAGCCACGACAAAGACAAGUCCCUCCAUCUCUGCAGGUCUUCUGUGAUUUUCUGGAUCAGCGGUGAGUAGUUUAGUGCGUAUGUGCGCUGUAGUUCCGCUGGUAGGGUGAUCCCUAGGUACGAUAUGUGUGAGGCCUUAUAAUUGAAAGCAUAUGUGGUCCGUAGUGUCUGUCUUUGAUUGUCUGGUAUUGUCAGCAUGAGUGCUUCAGUUUUAUCGAAAUUUAAUUUGUAUCCCGAUACCUCUGAGUAGUCGUCUAUGAGUUUGAGGAGAGGUGGG